ensembl:rRNA 5S_rRNA 5S ribosomal RNA
GCCAGCAGUCAUGCUACCUGGAGCUGAGAUCUUGUCAGAUCUUAUCAGCUAAGGAGAGCUGGCCCUGGCUAGUAACUGAAUGGGAGAUCUCCAGCGGGAAUCCAGCUGGUGUUGGUGGCA